AUGGAAUGGGACACAAAUAUGAAAUAUAUAUGGCUUAUGCUGCAUUUGUUCUUUAUCUGCAUCAGAUCUAGACUUGGGGUGGGAUAUUUCUUUAGGACUAUGGUUUGGACGAGUCACUACUCAGCACAAAACAUGCUAACUAAUUCAUGGCCACUGCAAGAGGGUAAUGUUCAUCACUUCAUGUUAGAGCAGGCCAUGGCUUAAUUCUAUGUAUGGUUCCUUCUACCCUGAGCUUCUACUCCAAAAUCCGGUAUUGGUUGAUAGCACAGAAGAGUUCAGUUGCCACUUGUCCAAUCCAUAGUUUUAAAGAAAUGAACCCCUCAAGAAUUUUGUUUAGGUGAGAUCGUUUUCAGCAUCAAGCUAUGUAUAUGCCCUUCCAUGUGAGGUAUGCUUAAUUCCAUGGCAGCAGGUUUACUUUUUUAUUAUUAUUUUAUUUAUUUAUUCUUUAACUAGAAGAUAAAGCUUUCUCCUACCAAUUAUGUCUUUUUUAAGAGUAUGGUGAUCCAUUUAAUUA